UGCAGAUGAUGUUUUUCUCACGAUGGUCUUCCAAGCCCUCGUUGCUUUGACGACAGUGCCUGUACGGCUACACUGAUGCAGUCCC
ensembl:snoRNA Small nucleolar RNA SNORD35